UUCGCAAUGCCCGAAAGGGUGACUAUGCGACGCCGCGUGCGCGAUGAAGGUCUUCGGAUUGUAAAGCCCUGUCUCCUGGGAAGAAUGGCGGGAGGUGAAUAGCCAUCUCGUCUGACGCUACCAGGGAAGGAAGCACCGGCUAAAUACGUGCCAGCAGCCGCGGUAAUACGUAUGGUGCGAACGUUGUUCGGAAUCACUGGGCAUAAAGAGCACGUAGGCGGUUGAGCAAGUCCAUUGUGAAAUCCCCCGGCUUAACCGGGGAACUGCUGUGGAUACUACUUGACUUGAGUGCGGGAGGGGAGAGUGGAAUUCCAGGUGGAGCGGUGAAAUGCGUAGAUAUCAGAAGGAACGCCGGCGGCGAAAGCGGCUCUCUGGCCCAUAACUGACGCUGAGUGUGCGAAAGCUAGGGGAGCAAACGGGAUUAGAUACCCCGGUAGUCCUAGCCCUAAACGAUGGGCACUAAGUA
rnacentral:rRNA from 1 species